UACGUAGGGUGCAAGCGUUAAUCGGAAUUACUGGGCGUAAAGCGUGCGCAGGCGGUUCUAUAAGACAGAUGUGAAAUCCCCGGGCUCAACCUGGGAAUGGCGAUGGUGACUGCAAGGCUAGAGUUUGGCAGAGGGGGGUAGAAUUCCACGUGUAGCAGUGAAAUGCGUAGAUAUGUGGAGGAACACCGAUGGCGAAGGCAGCCCCCUGGGUCAAAACUGACGCUCAUGCACGAAAGCGUGGGGAGCAAACAGG
rnacentral:rRNA from 1 species